rnacentral:rRNA from 1 species
CCCUUAGAUGUUCUGGGCCGCACGCGCGCUACACUGACGAAUGCAACGAGCUUAUAACCUUGGCCGAAAGGUCUGGGUAAUCUCCAAAUUUCGUCGUGAUGGGGAUAGAUUAUUGCAAUUAUUAAUCUUCAACGAGGAAUGCCCAGUAAGCGCAAGUCAUCAGCUUGCGUUGAUUACGUCCCUGCCCUUUGUACACACCGCCCGUCGCUCCUACCGAUUGAAUGGUCCGGUGAAGCCUCCGGAUUGGCGCGCACCUCGGUGCCGCCGAGAAGUUGGCUAAACCUUACCAUUUAGAGGAAGGUGAAGUCGUAACA